rnacentral:sRNA from 1 species
GACCUUGGCACCGCGUUUGUCAAGUUUUCUACUCUUACAAAGGAACUGUCCACACUGCUGAAAAAUCUGAUCAGCCUUCAUCCCCAUUGCAGCCUCAUCCCCUUGUUGUGAGAGCCAAUGCAGUGACAUCUGCAGAAUGGCAAUCCAGCUACUGGGGCAGGAAGAUGAUCCAAGAUGACUCAAAGAUGGGGUCUUGCUAUACUCCCCAGGCUGUUCUUGAACUCCUGGGCUCAAGCAAUUCUCACACCUUGGUCUCCCCAAGUGCUUGGAUUACAGGCAUGAGCCACCAUUCCUUGUCCUGAAAUGAUUUUAAAUGUGUUUUUUGUUUAAUAAAAUGAAAAAAAUGCACUUUCAAAAACAUACCCUUCAACUUUUUAUAGACUUGAAUCAUGUAAAGUACUUACGUUAAUUCAACUUUAUGAAUAAAGGAAAGAAAAUG